GUAGCUUCGGCAGCACAUAUACUAAACUUGUAACAAUACAGAGAAGAUUAGCAUGGCCGCUGCGCAAGGGUGAUGCAAAUAAAAGCAAUAAAUAAAUAAGUACA
ensembl:snRNA U6 U6 spliceosomal RNA